AUACAAUAAAAACAUUAGUCAGAAGAAAGCAUGAUGUAACUGGGAGUUGUUGUAGUAAGUGAAAUAAGCCAGGUACAGAAAGACAGUGCACAGUCUCAACCAUGGAAUACAAGAAAGUUAAUCUCAUAGAAGUUCAGAGUCUAAUGAUUACCAGAAGCUGGGGGCAUAGCAGGAAAGGGAAUGGGGAAAGGUUGAAUAAUGGGUACCAAAUUAGAGGUAAAAGGUAAAAGUUCUGGUGUGCUGUUAUGCCAUAGGAUGACCAUAGAUGAAGACAUGUACUAAAUGUUUUAUUAAAGCCAUUGGGAAGAAUUUUAAAUGUUUUCACCAUAAGGAAAUGAUAAUUGUUUGAGGAUACAGGUAUGUUCACCCUGAUUGGAACAUUACACAACAGAUACAUAUAUAGAAGCAUCACAUGGUACCCCAUCAAUAUGUACAAGUUCUAUGUAUCAGUUAAAUUUUAAAAAAAUUUAAAAGAAAUAUCAAAGUAAAAAAAAAAAAGAAAAAGGAAAGAAAGGAAUGACCAAAUUAGUAUCAGAUAAAGUCAAUUUAGGAGCAGAGAAAAUUGCCGGGGACUGAGCAGGACAUUACAUAUUUCUAAAUGACACAAAUCCCCCAGGAAAACAUAGUACCACAAGGUGAGCACAUCUCUUCUGUCCCAUGCUCUGACUACCAUGUCCUCUGCCACAGCAAGGACAACUGACCACAGGCUGAAACCAUGAGCCAAAAUAAGUCCUUUACCCCUUAAGUUGAUUAUCUCUGGUAUUUUGUCACAGUGAAAGAAAACUGAUGCACAAACAUUGUAAUUUGGGACCUUAUCUGGAAAAUCAAAAUAUUUUAUAAAAUUGAGCUCAUUCUCACAUGGCAAACUGAUACAAGCAUGGAGGAGAAGUGUUAGACACAAAAGGACCCUCCAGUUCAGCAGUGUCCCCACUGGGCAGCUAAAGAUCCACUGUCAUUUAUCAUCAUCAAAUGUUAAGCAUUUAUAUUUUUGAUAUCUGGAUCCCUCAUUCAUUUAUAUAACUUGCCUGGCCCCAGCAGGUGUUCCAUUCUCAACCUGUUGUAUAGGUGGGAGCUUUCUAAAGUUAUCUCCUGUUUUAUGAAAUCCUAUACAUACCAAAGACAACAGAAAAAAAAAAUACGUGUGUAUAUAUGAAUUCUUUGGGGCCCUUUCAUAGUAUACUAAAAUCUGUUGAUUUACACACUAUCUUAAGAGUCAUGUUAUUUCAAUCAACAUUUAUUGAGAAUCUAUUUAAACCAAACUCUCUACGAGCUGGAGAUAUAUUGCAUGGACAGAUCAAAUGAUUCCUCUCCUUCUGGGCUAGCCUAACAAAAUGAGAAAUGUGCUAGAGGAACUCAAAGGGAAAAAAUGGGGAUUUGGAAACAUUUAACAGAAUAUAUUAUCAUGGGCUCAGGAUGUGGCUCAAGUGGUAGCGCGCUCGCCUGGCAUGCGUGAGGCACUAAGUUCAAUCCUCAGCACCACAUAAAAAAAAUAAAUAAAAUAAAGAUUAAAAAAAAAAGAAUAUGAAAAGAUCUCCCAUUUAAAAAAAAAAAAGAAUAUAUUAUCAUUGCACUUUGUUCCUGGAGAGCAUGUAGGAGGUAACAAUAGCCAAAAGAAGAAAGGGAGAAAGGACUUUUUAACACAAAAAAUAGCCUGUAUGAAGCCCCCCAGUUCUAAAAGAGGUAAGCUGUCAAUAUCAUGGAAAAUAUAUUAUGGCCAAGAGUCAGGAUGGACCCAUGGAAGUGAAGCUGGAGAGCUGAUUGAAACCAGACCGUGAAGAGCUUCAAAAGCCACGUUUAUGGAGAAAUUGGUCCUGGAGUGACAGCAGAACUUGCAGCACAUGCAUAUAGAACUGAAACCAAAGUUUCUCUGCAUCUGAUGGCAGAUGGGGUCUGCGUAAGUUGCAGGCCUUUCCAGUCAAGAAAGCCUGUGUCAGUGUGAGCAGCCAGUCAAGACAGGGAAUGCCUGCCCGUGUCCGCUCUGAGGGUCACAGCCAACAAAACCUGAUUCUCCUCCACUAUCAUGGAGUAGCAUGUUGCAGCUCUCAAUGGUGGCCAUGCCCUCCAGUGCUGCAGCAGAGCCAAGAACAGACCCAAAAUCCUGCAGGAUGAGAGGGGACCCAGCAGAAGGUUGCCUCUUGGUUGUGCUUGUCUUGGAGUUAUUAUAUAACUACUGGUCCAGAUUGAGACUAAUCAGGUUUUGGAAAAGUGCCAACACUAUUGGUCCAACUUUACGCUGAUCAGAUCUUGGAUAGUAUUAAUGCUAUCGUUAGCCCUCGAGUAAUUUUCCUGCCAUCUCCACUCAGGUUUGCCCCCACUUGUGUUUUCUUGUCACUGAUUGGGCUCACCCUGGCUCACCUGGACCCUAGCUCUGGGACACAGGCCCGCCCCAGCAUGAUAGGAUCCACCCAUCGGUAACCCGCAUUCACUGUGUGCUCCAGCCCACCCAGGCUGCCACUCUGGGACAAAGGCUUGGAUUCAGAACCAACUAUCAGUUUUGCUUUAUGGAAGAUAAUCUAUCCACAGCGAACCUCCUCAAGCCAACUUUUAUCAUUUUUACUUCUCUUACUACAGUCAAGGUCUUAGAUCACCUGGUAUCAGUAGAGACGGGGCACUGUGGCCAGGGAGCUGAUGAUGGUUUGUAAGUGGAGCAUUUGUUGAGUUCUUACAGUGAGAAGGAGCUACAUCUUAGUCUUCAAUGGAGUCUGUGCAACGCAGGUGCUAAGCUGGGCAGCUCGGCCAUCCACAGGCAGGAUUAGGCAGAGAGCGCCUCUCUAAGUCACUUGUCAGUCAAAAGCUUGUGGAUACGUAUCCAAAGGCCCCACAGUACAUCUGGCAAACGGGCGCACCCUCCCCUGUGAGACCCAGGACUUGUCAUUUUGGUUCCAGAUCUUUUCUUUUAUGGUCUGUAAGAGAAAUCCGAGCCCAGGCCAGAUUCUGAGAAGAACGCGUUAUUGCAGCCAAAGGAAGAAAAAUGACAAGCACGUGGCAGAGAAGAAAGCUGGACCCGUCUCAAAGGUAUACUUCAGCCCUGGCCACUCACAAAGCCAGCAGAGAACAGUUCAUGAAAUAAAAAUGCAUAAAAUAAACAAACCGCCCGCCAUGGAACCAUGCUUAAAUGAUAGCAGAUGAAAUUUAGAGUUCAUUUAAAAAAUAUAUUCUCUGAAAGGGAAAAAAAAAAGGUGUUCAAACUGAAAGAGUGUUAAGAGGUGCCUUUUUGAAAGGCGGGGGCUCCUUUUUAAAGACUCACUAGCUCCGUGGUAGAUUUUUUUUUUCUCUUUGUUUUUUCGAUCAGUAAUCACAUGUGACUGUCUAUCACGGGACAAGCACUGUGCUAAGCUUUGGUGACACAAAGACUUUUAUUCUGUGACCUCAGGGACAUUCUCCAAUGUCUUCAGAGUCAAUGGCACCAUGUUCAUGCACUUGGUCCAGGAGGUUGGCGGGAAGUAUCCUAAAAAUCAUGCAAAGUGGUGUCCUCGUGUCAGCCAGGCUGUGUCAUCGUUUCAGGAGACGUUCUGCUCCUUUUUUUGAAGUAUCUCCAGUUUGUAAGCAUGACGGCCAGUUGGCAGGCUAGCAUUUUCAGUUUGUAAUUUUCAACAUAAAAGCCUCGUUUUUAGUUCUAACCUGCAGGGACGACCAUCCUGGCCUCCUCGUCCUUCUCCUGCCUCACUGCCGCAGCUGCCCCAGCAGAGA
rnacentral:lncRNA from 1 species